rnacentral:rRNA from 1 species
UACGUAGGGUGCGAGCGUUGUCCGGAAUUAUUGGGCGUAAAGAGCUCGUAGGCGGUCUGUCGCGUCGAUCGUGAAAACUUGGGGCUUAACCCUGAGCUUGCGGUCGAUACGGGCAUGACUGGAGUUCAGCAGGGGAGACUGGAAUUCCUGGUGUAGCGGUGAAAUGCGCAGAUAUCAGGAGGAACACCGGUGGCGAAGGCGGGUCUCUGGGCCGAUACUGACGCUGAGGAGCGAAAGCGUGGGGAGCGAACAGG